AGGGAGGGGGUAGCAAGGACGUCGGAGUGAGAGGAAGUCCUAUAUGUCAAAGGGCUCUGUGCACAUUUUCCUGAAAUGCCUCAGCUCAGUGUAAAUGUAAUCUGUUAUUUUAACUCAUUACAAGAGCUGUGUUUUGCCCUUUCUCACAUUAAAUUUGUAAAAAUUCACAAUUAAUUCACAUGAAUAUUAUGAAAUCAAUAACAUAUAUAUGGUGAAUCUUUCUAUUUCAAGGAUCCCUCCUAACAGGUCGCAUUUCAUCCUUUCUCAAGACCUCAAAAGUUGGAUUAUUGUUGGAGUUCCCAUCGUGGCACAGCGAAAACGAAUCUGACUAGGAACCAUGAGGUUGCAGGUUCGAUCCCUGUCCUUGCUCAGUGGUUAAGGAUCUGGCGUUGCUGUGGCUGUGGCAUAGGCCAGCAGCUACAGCUCCGAUUCAAUCCCUAGCCUGGGAACCUCCAUAUGCGCAGGUGUGGCCCUAAAAAAGUUGGAUUAUUGUUAAAAAAGUAAAGACAUUUUGGAAGACUGCUGACCAUUAGCCAGAGGGAAGGUCCCGAACCAUCCAAAUGUUCUCUAGCUGGCAAAGAAGUAUGAAAAAAAUUCUGGCCAGACCUGAACAUGCUGGAACAUCCAGCAACGCUGAUCCCGCUGCCCCACAAGGGAGCUUCCUUGUCUGGCUUCUUUACUCAUCAUAAUUAUUUGGAGAAUAGAUGUGAAACAUUCAAUUAAGUCAGAGUUUAUAUGAUUUUAUAUGUGAUCAAACUUGCUACACAUAAAAAACCUCACAUGUAAUUAUGUGAUACCACAUGCUUUGUGUAUAUCAACAGUGAAACCGAUGCUCAGCUUUUUAAGCAUAAUUGUUCAUUGUGCCUCAGACUAAAACUCUGCUAGUAACCAAAGCCAUUUUCCUCUGAAGCUAUAAACACAAAGCAAAUGAUCUGUUAGCUGCCAACAAGCUUAUACGUAAGGGAAUAUAAAUAAGACACUUGAUAAAAGGCUCUCCUGUUGCCAAAAGAGGUGGCCAAAUAACCUGAAAAACCAAGC
rnacentral:lncRNA from 9 species